rnacentral:miRNA from 1 species
GCUGACACAGCCCGGCCAAUCUCCAGCAGACCCUCCCUCCCAGACCCUCCCACCUCCUGGACAGCAUCCAUUGUGAAGCUGCCUUCAACAUGGAUGCUGUCCAGGAGGUGGGAGGGUCUGGGAGGGAGGGUCUGCUGGAGAUUGGCCGGGAUGUGUCAG